CUCGUAAAUAUUAAAUUUCAUCUAUAAAUUUACAUGUAAACUAUAGUCACCACUGUACUUCACCAAAGGUGACCCCUAUAAUCAUAUCGCAUCACCACUCUCAUCAGAGGGUAUGUCGUCAUCCAUAGGGAGUGGUCCUCUUACGUCUUUUCAGAGUAGAUGGGGAGAAACAGAAAUCCCUCAGAGAUAAAAAGCCUAAUGAAAUAGUUU
rnacentral:lncRNA from 1 species